CUUCUAGCUGCUAACUUAGUUUUCUCCGUAGGGAGGAUGGGGAGCCAGUUUCUGGGGCCCAAACAUGAGCAGCCAAUGGUGCCCAAGCGGUGACUCCUGCCCCUUCCCUCAUCCACACCUUCCUCACCCCGCCAAUGAAAGUUCUAGAAUGUUCUAGAGUUCUACAGUGGGUCACUACCAACUGCUUGUUGCCAGUGAUUCCCUGCAGGGAGGGGGCCUGAGGGAGCCAGAUAGAAGGCGGGGCAGCCACAGAAAACACACAGUCAGGGAAAGAGAGGGGCUUCUGUUCUCUCUGGGGCGGGGAGAGCGAGGCAAUUACCACAGGCCUGUGGGCAGUGCCUGAGGCUGAUCUCAGGAACGGUAACAGUAGCACUCCUCAAUUAUCUAGCACUUUCCACCUGCUCCACAGAGAUAAGUGUUUUAUAUCCGUUGAUUAGUCCUACCAAGAGUCCUACAACUCUACCAAGAGGCUGCUACGUUAUCCCCACUUUACCAAUGAGGAGACUGAGGCUCAGAGAGAUCACGUGAGACUUCAGGAGUAAGCUGUCCACCCAAAGUCAUACAGCCUCCUCACUCACCAGGAUCUGCAGCUGCCCGUUCUUACACGAGUCGGGGGAGUCUUCACUCUCAUCGGCCCGGCACACGCCCAUCUG